GGGAGAGCAGUGUGUGUUGGCAAGCAGGACUGAGUUGAGGAAUGUCCAGGUGCUUGGUUGGCUCAGUUGGUGGAGCAUGCAACUCUUGAUCUUGGGGUUGUAAGUUCAAGCCCCACAUCUG
rnacentral:lncRNA from 1 species